GCCGGAAUGGUGAAACUGGUAGACACACAGCGUUCAGAGCGCUGCGGGAGCAAUCCCAUGGAGGUUCAAAUCCUCUUUCCGGCA
rnacentral:tRNA from 1 species